CAGACCUGCCUUACUGGAGUCAUUUAAUCUCCGUUUCAUAGCAUUCUGAAUUCCUUACAGAAAUGGAAUCUUGUCCCAGAAACAGUUCCAGAGAAGAAAAAGAAGCAAAGAAAUCAACACAAAGAGAACUGAGACCUUGGCUUGGUUAGCAGCCUGCAAAUUCCCAUGGAUACUACUGAGGAAAUCACAUGCUCUUAACCACAAAUUCAACUGCUAAAGC
rnacentral:lncRNA from 1 species